GAUGAACGCUAGCGGCAGGCCUAAUACAUGCAAGCCGAACGGUAAUUCUGAUAGCAAUAUUGGAACUAGAGUGGCGUAAGGGUGCGUAACACGUAUGCAAUCUACCCGCAACAGGAGGAUAGCUCCCCGAAAGGGGAAUUAACCCUCCAUGAGAUCACACGAGGGCAUCCGAGAGUGAUUAAAUUUGAGGAGGUUGUGGAUGAGCAUGCGACUGAUUAGCUAGUUGGCAGUGUAACGGACUACCAAGGCGAUGAUCAGUAGGGGAACUGAGAGGUUGA
rnacentral:rRNA from 1 species